GUGGCCAGUGAUGAGGACUUUUUCCACUUGUGUCUGAGUUCUUCAACCAUGAGAUGACCCCACAUGCACUAUGGGAGAGAUACAUGUAUUUAUCAGAUCAA
rnacentral:snoRNA from 1 species